CCAAUAGUUACAUAACAAAACUAUUCGCCAGAGUACUACUCGCAACUGCCUAAAACUCAAAGGACUUGGCGGUGCUUCACAUCCACCUAGAGGAGCCUGUUCUAUAAUCGAUAAACCCCGAUAGACCUUACCAACCCUUGCCAAUUCAGCCUAUAUACCGCCAUCUUCAGCAAACAAGUAUUA
rnacentral:rRNA from 1 species